ensembl:lncRNA
AGGGGCUCUGCCUGAGGACAGUACCCUUCACUCCCCUUUCUGCCAUUCAGUCCCUCUUACCUGACAGAUGAGGAUCAGGUGGUGCGUGCCCAACCAACAGUGCACAGCCUUUGGAGCUGGAAGAUCGGACUAGCAGAACUCUACAGUGACGUGCUCAUUAGGGGUCUGAUCUUGGAGUUCUCUAUGCCUCGAUUUCCUCACCUGUAAAAUGAGGACGAUGAUGACAGCAGCUUGUUGGGAAGAUUCAAUGUGUCCAUGAAUGUAAAGCAUUUGGAACAGAGACUGACGUAUGUCCCAUGAGGAAAAUCAAUUCUUCGUGAGCAAAAAUUGGUGCUGAACAAAACUACAUUUAUGCUUGUCAUCUUGAGAAAGAGGAAUUACACUCGGAGCUUUCGCCAUGGAAACAGCAUAUGAUUUUUUUCAUCAUUUUAAGUGUGUAUAUGUGUGUGUGUGUAUGUAAACACAUUGAACCCACUUUGUUGAGCACCUACCUUAGGCCUGGCAUUUUUCUAGGCAUGAGGGUAGAUGGAGAUCAAGACGGAUUAGGUCCCUGUUCUCAAGGAUUUCUUGUUCAUGAAAAGCCAAUUGUUAUUUUUUGUUCGUUUAUUUGUUUGCUGUUUCAGAAGGAAAAGUUCAACCCUUGGCAGGGUGUCAAGAGGCCAACAUCCCAGGACAGAAUAGAAACCUAAAGUUUGUAUUUUUGAUACCCCAAGUGCUCUUUUGAAGGAAUUCGAGAAAUGUCUGGUCUCUGGGAAGUUGUGGAAGGGGCAGAAGGAGAACAGAGUCCAAGCGCCAGAGAGCACAGGUGUGGACAGUUGUCCCAGGGAGGUGAUGCUGCACAGAAAGUGUUGGGGGCAUGGACCGUAGCAGGACCACAGCAGGGACAGCGCUGUGUCAGAAGCCCUGCCCAACCAGGCUCCUCUCCUGGCUGUCCAGCCUUCGGCAGCGAGGUCGAGGUGGUAGAUCGCAAGGCCCCAGGGCCCGCCCAGCUGAAAGUUCUGCCCUCCCAGGGAUGGGAAUUGACUCCUCUACACCUGCAGGAGCAAAGUACGGUUCUGCCACUGUCUGGUUGUCUGGCGCUCACCUCUCACCUCUGUGUCACAAGCCAGGUCACCAUAAGCCCAGGGAGGACUUCCCCUUUCCUUGGGAAUUACCAGUUCCGUGAAACUAAUUAUCGUAAACCAUAUGUACAGACUUAGUGUGUGAGCAGAGGCCUUCACCAGACUAUCUUUUAACAUUAAAACUCAUCUUCAAGUGCUCACUGUGUUCCAACCACACUUGUCUUUUUCUCCUGUUCUUCAAAUAUACCUUAUUUCUGUUUCAGGGUCUUAGCACAUGUUCCCUCUGCCUGGAGUCCUUAUGCCCAGAUCAUCACAUGGCAGGCUUCAUACUGUUCAGGCUUCAGCCUAAAUGUCACCUCCUCAGAGAGGCCUUCCCUGACCACCCUAUUUCAUGUCGAUUGCCCUACUUGCAGCCCAGACAGUGUCUAAUAUAUUACCUGAUUCCUUCCCUCCCCCUUUCUCUCCCUCCUUCCCUUCUGUUCUUCUAUUUUCUUGGUCAUCGGGUGAAAAGUGUUGAGUCAAUCAUACACCUUAGUUCAUGGUGUACUGUUAUCACUCUUCUUCCAUGGAUAUUUCUCCCGUUCAUCCCUGGUUUCCAUUUCCAUUCCUUCUGCUUCCACAUAUGCAUCCACUAUAAGCUAUUAGAUAUAUAUCCUUUGGUAUAAAUGCAAUGUUGUAAAAUGUCAGGUGUUGUUUUGUAUAUGUUUUAAAUUUUUAUUAAUAGUAUUGUGCAAUAGACCUUGUUCUAUUUCUUAUGCUUUGCACUCAACAGUGGGUUUUAAAGAUCCACCUAUAUUUGCUAUAUGUACCUCUGGUUCACUGCUUCCAACUGAUCCCCAGCAUUCGGUAGUGUGCAUUCAUCCCCUCAGGAUGCAUCCAGCUCCCAGAUUCCAUAUACAGCUCUACAGCGAGCAUCCUCAUCUUUACUCCUUUAUGGACCUGGGUGAGAACUGAUCUGGAUAUAUACCCAUGGAAAGGAUUGCUGGGCCAUAUGUAUAUGCAUAUUUAUAUACACGGAGAAGAACCACAAGUCUGUGAACUAGCUGCAGAGUCUCGCUUCUCAGAACCUGGAGUCUUGAUUUUUAAGAGCAAUUUUUAUAUCUUAAGUAAAUCAAAUUAAUUCCCAGAAGAACUGAUACAAAUACUUGUUUAAAACAGCCACAAAAUCUCAGAGGCAUAUGACAACAAAAUAUUCAUAUAGCUCAAGAAACUAGGGGUUGAGCAUCAAGGCUUCUGAAGCCUGGGCUUGGAGCUGGCACACUUUCUUUCACUCUUAUCUCAUUCUGUUGGCCAAACUCUAAGUCGAAGGACUCAACUUUACGAGAGUAAGUGCAAUGUCAUGUUGCAAAGAAGGAAAAUACGAGGAGGAGUGAAGGUCGGGUCUUCGAGGCACUCUACCACACCAAUGGUGUAAAAUUUAGAUGAUGAAUAGCCAUCUGCAAAACAGAAAGAGUGUCUUCACCAGACACCAGAUCUUCCAGUGUCUUGAUCUUGGACUUCCCAGCCUUCAGAACUGUGAGAAAUAAAUGUUUGUUGUUUAAGCCACCCAUUCUCGGAUGUUUUUGUUAUGGCAGACCAAAUUAAGACAGGGAGCCUAUUCCUGAUUCAUGUGUGCCCAUGCGCAUGCCUGGACGAUCGAGGUCAGAGCAUUCCUCUGGCCACAGCGACGGAUUCAGAGAUGGGCAUUUGAUCCAAUUAGAGGCAGUGAGUGCAAAAUCUCUGAACUUUUGUUGAUUCUGUUCAAAGAGAAACAUACUCUACUUUUCUCCCAGGUUUGGAACUCUGAAGCUGUGAGCCAGGAGCUGUGGUGCCCAUCUUGCCGUCACAAGGAGAGACUUGCCCAAGAACGGACCAAUAUAGAGAAAAACAGAGCCAAGACAAAGCAAAACCAGCUCUCAAGACUCUUCUCUUAUCAUGAAAAUGGAAAAGUAGGCCAAUGGUUGGGAUAUUGACCCCAGGUGGUCUUUGGAACACAGAGGACUGUGCUCCAUCCAAACGACACAGAAUAUAUUGUCUUCAGACAGCCAAGAUUCCCGCAGAAGCUGGAGCAGCAGACCACUUGGAUCUUCAAAGUGCUGGGAACCUGAGUCAGUUAAGGAAGAUCUCUUGUUCUCUUUUGUACAAUCCAAUAAUGAGUUCUGACUAAUAAAAAUCUCUGCCUUUAUCAUUGACUUCCCCACCUAAUAACAUCUUCAGUGACUAAUCGUCCCGAUUGAUUUGCCCGUUGGUCUAAUUUUCCACCUACUGUUUGCCUGUCUAAGAAAUCUGCUGCAUCUACGCAACCUGACCAGUCAUCAUUCACACCAGCUCAGGUUGCUAUGCCAGCUGUCCUUUGACAAACUUCCCUCCUCCAUCUUCUAUCUUCAGAGUGACCUUCACAGCUCUGCAUAAGUUUCUGUCAUACUUCCAUAUAGAGGGACAGCUAAAUCAAUAUUUUUGAUCUGCUCUGCUGCCAGAAUUCGACGAUCUGUCACAGUUCUUGCCCAAUUCACCCAAUCAAUAUGGUUCAAAUGUUUUUAGCUUUGUUUAAAGUGUUGGGUUAACUGGUUUAGUAACCCACCUCAGAGCUAAACUUUGCAGUAUAACUUAAGCCACAUUUUACUAUACUUUUCCGCAACCCGGAGCACAUACCAUUUUAUGGUUAAUGGUUAAUCUAAUUGCAUUCAUCUUUUGCAACUCUCUUCCAAGAUUUUUCCUUGAUCUUCCACCUGGGAAGGUUUUUACUGAUAAUCAUCCUAUCUUGAAUCAUUGCUUCUAACCGAUAGACCAACCAUCACUUACUCUAAAUGAUAUUGAAUAAGAUGCUAUGGUUCACAUCUGAAUUUAAUCGCUUGUAGAUUUUCAUAAAAUAAACCUCUCACUUCUACAAUUGAGAGUGUUUAUAAGUUGUGUAUGUUAACCAAUUCCCCUUUCACGCUUUUCACAUAAAAUAAAGUAACCUUUUCAAUCAAUUUUCUAUUGUGUCUAUGAUGUUAUCAUUUGGUGGUGUAGGUCAGGGUUGGCAAAUCUUUACUGUAAAGGGCCAGAGAGUAAAUAUUUUAAACUUUGCAGGCCAUACCAUCUCUGUUGCAACUACUCAACUUUGUUGCUGUAACAGUCACAAUUUAUAAAUGAAUGAGCAUGGCUGUGAGCCAAUAUAACUUUACUUAUAGAUAUUGAAAUUUGAAUUUCACAUAAUUUUCACGUGUCAUGAAGUAUUGUUCUUCUUCUCAACCAUUAAAAAUGUAAAAACCAUUCUUAGUUGUGGGCUGUACAAAAACAGGCCAAGGGCUGGACUUGCUCUGUGGCUGUAGUUUUCUGACUACAGUGUAGUUUAUGGCUGGGAGCACAUCCAGGUUUUGUGGGGAGGGAACCUUUUACAAUUUGUGGGGCCUCUCUUUAAGAAAAAGAAUACAAAAUUACAAAUACAAAAUUAGGUGCAAGGCUUUGGGAGGGACCCAUACAGAUGAGAGGCCCUUGAAAAUGGAGCCUCUUUAGUGUCCUGGGGGUCUGCUUCCGGUGACACUUGGACCAUUCUCCUGCAGAGGUUCCCAGACCUGGCUGAUUAUUGGAGACACCAAGAAGGCUUUCCCAAUGACAGGUUCCAAAGCCCUGAAGGAAAGCCCCGACACGUUGCCCGAAUUAGAAUCUCUGAGCAUCGACCCUAAGAAUCAGCUGUGUUGUAAAGCUCCCUAGGGAAUUCUACUAUGCAGCCAUGUGUGCAAGCCACUCUUUUAC